CGGGCGGUAGCUCGAUGGUAGAGCUCCCGAUUAGUAUGUGGGAAGACCUGGGUUCGAUUCCCGGCUGCUUAC
rnacentral:tRNA from 1 species